AUACGAGGGGUGCAAGCGUUAAUCGGAAUUACUGGGCGUAAAGCGUUCGUAGGCGGUUAUUUAAGCAAGAUGUGAAAGCCCAGGGCUCAACCUUGGAACUGCAUUUUGAACUGGGUAACUAGAGUACUGUAGAGGGUGGUGGAAUUUCCAGUGUAGCGGUGAAAUGCGUAGAGAUUGGAAGGAACAUCAGUGGCGAAGGCGGCCACCUGGACAGAUACUGACGCUGAGGAACGAAAGCGUGGGGAGCGAACAGGAUUAGAAACCCCGGUAGUCC
rnacentral:rRNA from 1 species